rnacentral:rRNA from 1 species
AGUGAACGCUGGCGGUAGGCCUAACACAUGCAAGUCGAACGGCAGCACAGGAGAGCUUGCUCUCUAGGUGGCGAGUGGCGGACGGGUGAGGAAUACAUCGGAAUCUGCCCAGUCGUGGGGGAUAACGUAGGGAAACUUACGCUAAUACCGCAUACGACCUUCGGGUGAAAGAGGGGGAUCGCAAGACCUCUCGCGAUUGGAUGAGCCGAUGUCGGAUUAGCUAGUUAGCGGGGUAAUGGCCCACCAAGGCGACGAUCCGUAGCUGGUCUGAGAGGAUGAUCAGCCACACUGGAACAGAGACACGGUCCAGACUCCUACGGGAGGCAGCAGUGGUGAAUAUUGGACAAUAGGCGCAAGCCUGAUCCAGCCAGACCGCGUGGGUGAAGGAGGCCUUCGGGUUGUAAAGCCCUUUUGUUGGGAAAGAAAUCUUUCAGGCUAAAACCCUGGGAGGAUGACGGUACCCAAAGAAUAAGCACCGGCUAACUACGUG